UCAUCAUUUAUUUAGUGACUACUGUAUGCCAAGACCCUGUUUGGGACCUGGGUAUAUAGAAAUGAACAAGGCUGACGAACACCUUCGUCCUUCUGGAGCUCCCAUCUGGUCCUGGCACACGGAGCGCCGGGGCACCCGUCAGCACAUAUUGCGGAGGGAAGAAUACCAUCAGUUAAUAAAACGAGAUGGUCACUGCAGAGAAUUCCUUCCCCUGCUUUUCCUGAAGUCGCCUGACGUGCUCUUUCUUCUCGGUGUUUUACCUCUCAGUGCGUCUUCAUGCGCUGAUGCCAGAACCCUAGCCGGCAGGAAGCCUUUUCCCCCCAGCACGCUCUGGAAGCAGGGCUGAUACUAAAAUACGACAAAGGUUGCAUCUGAUGUUCAGCGGAAGAACACCACAAUGCGCUGCGUACAAGCAGUUCAGAGGCGCCCCAAGCUGCCCUUAUGGCUCUGCAGCCCACUGAGCCACUGCUUCCGUGAUUUCUUUUCUGGACUUUUGAUCUAUCUGUCCUUGGCUUUCCUGUCCACUUCCCCAUCAGCAUCACCAUGGGUUCAGUGCACCUUGGCCAUCACCCACCAUGGCUUCAUCCUUACGUUCCUUCUUCCUUUUUAAAUUUUCAAAAAUUAAAAAAAAAUGUGUAGGAAAUGCAGACUUCCAAACAAUCCCUGCAGGGUCUCCAUGCAGAAGUGCUAGCAUUAAUUUUUAAAACAUACAAGACAACAGUUUGUUUAAAUCUGCUUCCAACGCAAAAGCUUUCUGGGAUCAGAAUGACCAGGCCAGAGGUGGAUUCUGAGAGCUCGAGAAGUCUGGAUCUAAGAACAAGUGUGUUGAAAACCAAAUUGGAAGCAGAGACACUGGGUUAGCUCAGUGAGGCUUCCCUAGUUUGGGUUAAUUUGUAGGAAGGACUGAAUUAGUGAAAAGUCUAAAUUACACUACAUUUUGUAAAGAACUACAGAUGUGACACUUAAUUGCUUACAGAAAUAUAACUAGAAUAAA